GACGAACGCUGGCGGCGUGCCUAAUACAGGCAAGUUGAGCGCUGAAGGUUGGUACUUGUACCAACUGGAUGAGCAGCGAACGGGUGAGUAACGCGUGGGGAAUCUGCCUUUGAGCGGGGGACAACAUUUGGAAACGAAUGCUAAUACCGCAUAAAAACUUUAAACACAAGUUUUAAGUUUGAAAGAUGCAAUUGCAUCACUCAAAGAUGAUCCCGCGUUGUAUUAGCUAGUUGGUGAGGUAAAGGCUCACCAAGGCGAUGAUACAUAGCCGACCUGAGAGGGUGAUCGGCCACAUUGGGACUGAGACACGGCCCAAACUCCUACGGGAGGCAGCAGUAGGGAAUCUUCGGCAAUGGACGAAAGUCUGACCGAGCAACGCCGCGUGAGUGAAGAAGGUUUUCGGAUCGUAAAACUCUGUUGGUAGAGAAGAACGUUGGUGAGAGUGGAAAGCUCAUCAAGUGACGGUAACUACCCAGAAAGGGACGGCUAACUACGUG
rnacentral:rRNA from 1 species